rnacentral:rRNA from 1 species
UACGUAGGGUGCAAGCGUUGUCCGGAAUUAUUGGGCGUAAAGAGCUCGUAGGCGGUUUGUCGCGUCGGCCGUGAAAUCUCCACGCUUAACGUGGAGCGUGCGGUCGAUACGGGCAGACUUGAGUUCGGUAGGGGAGACUGGAAUUCCUGGUGUAGCGGUGAAAUGCGCAGAUAUCAGGAGGAACACCGAUGGCGAAGGCAGCUCGCUGGGACGGUACUGACGCUGAGGCGCGAAAGCGUGGGGAGCAAACAGG